AUGCUGAACGGGGGGAGGGAGGGCCUGUUUCAGCUGGGACAGCAGCUCCAGCAGCAGGGGGAGUACCAGGCCGCCCUACACUGCUUCCUCAGCUCUCUGCUGGGGUUGAGGCAUGUGCAGAGCUUUACCUCACUGCCCAACUGCCUGCAUCAGCACAGGAUCAGCAUGUUUCCUGUUGACAGUGCACGGUACACGGUGAAGAGAAGGAGUCUGUCUGUCUGUCUAGCACAAGAACAGACAGAAAAAUGUCAAAUGGCUCUUUUGAAUAUUGCUGAGCUCUUCAUCUCCGAAAAUAAUUACGGCAAGGCCCUGCAGUUCAUUCAGGCUGAGAAGAUGUUCUAUGAGGUUGCUCUGAUCGAGCUCACUGCUGUUCAGGGGAGCACAGGCCCCCAGGAGGAGGCUUUGCUGGGCUCAGCAGGGACAGGAUGGGCGUCCUCAGAGGAGCUAUCGGAUCAGGCUUCCCAGGCACAGCACCUGGAGCAGCUAGCCCAGCUCUGCAUCGUGAGUAAAAGACCUCAUCUUGCUUUAGAGUACAGUGGGAAAGCCACUAAGAUCCAUCAGAGGGCCUUUGGCAACGACCACCCCAUCACAGACAGGAGUCUGGAGCUGCUGGCCACCGUCUACGCAGAGAUCGGCAAGACAGAAUACUCAGACUCCCUGGACCAGUGUGUGUCAGUGCUGUCCAAGAGGUUUGCUUCUGCCGAGUCCUUCAGAGACAAACUCAACAACGGUCUUCCCCAUUCCCACUCCCAUUCCCAUCGGGAGAAACACUCCGAUGUCUGGCACAGGAAAGACCCCAGUCCACAGGAUGACACACCAAAACCGAAGGUCACCAACGGUAAAAUCCCUACAUCCAUACUGAAGAGGUCUGGCUCAGGAUCAGACUCGGAGCCCAGCCACAGAUGGAAAGGCGAGCGACGGGUCCGGUUCCGGGAGCCUGAGACCACCGUGCAUGACGUUCCAUACUAUGACUGUUUAGUUGCCUAUGACACGUCACCGCCACGCCCCCACCUGGCCCUGUUCACCUGCUUGUUUCUGCUGAUGUCACUGCUGGGCGUGGUCAUGUACAGCACGGACCGCCGGCGCCCACAGCGUGUGUGUGAGGAGCUGGAGGCCUCGCUGGCUGUCUAUCUGAUACACAUGAAACAGCUGCUGUGGGGCUGCUGGAUCUGGCUAACCAUGCAGUGA
rnacentral:lncRNA from 1 species